GAGUUUGAUCCUGGCUCAGGACGAAGUGGCGGCGUGCUUAACACAUGCAAGUCGAACGGAGCGAAUGAAAGCUUGCUUUUAUGAGCUUAGUGGCAAACGGGUGAGUAACACGUAGGCAACCUGCCGACAGGAUGGGGACAACAUUCCGAAAGGAAUGCUAAUACCGAAUGAAGCGGAGGAGAGGCAUCUCUCUUCCGUGAAAGAUGGCCUCUGAAUAUGCUAUCACCUGUCGAUGGGCCUGCGUCUGAUUAGCUGGUUGGUGAGGUAACGGCUCACCAAGGCGACGAUCAGUAGCCGGUCUGAGAGGAUGAACGGCCACAUUGGGACUGAGACACGGCCCAGACUCCUACGGGAGGCAGCAGUGGGGAAUCUUCCGCAAUGGGCGCAAGCCUGACGGAGCAACGCCGCGUGAGUGAAGAAGGUCUUCGGAUCGUAAAGCUCUGUUGACGGGGACGAACGUGCCUAAUGCGAAUAGUUUUAGGUAAUGACGGUACCUGUCGAGGAAGCCACGGCUAACUACGUGCCAGCAGCCGCGGUAAUACGUAGGUGGCGAGCGUUGUCCGGAAUCAUUGGGCGUAAAGGGAGCGCAGGCAGGCAUGUAAGUCUUUCUUAAAAGUGCGGGGCUCAACCCCGUGAUGGGAAAGAAACUACAUGUCUUGAGUACAGGAGAGG
rnacentral:rRNA from 1 species